UUUCCGUAGGUGAACCUGCGGAAGGAUCAUUACUGAGUGAGGGCCCCUCGGGGUCCAACCUCCCACCCGUGUUUAACGAACCUUGUUGCUUCGGCGGGCCCGCCUCACGGCCGCCGGGGGGCAUUUGCCCCCGGGCCCGCGCCCGCCGAAGCCACCUGUGAACGCUGUCUGAAGUAUGCAGUCUGAGACAAUUAUUAAAUUAAUUAAAACUUUCAACAACGGAUCUCUUGGUUCC
rnacentral:misc_RNA from 1 species